UUGGCCUCAAAUCAGGGAGGACUACCCCCUGAACUUAAGCAUAUCAAUAAGCGGAGGGAA
rnacentral:rRNA from 1 species